rnacentral:tRNA from 1 species
UGUCACUGCUCUAAAACGAGGGUUCGAAUCCCUCUUAGACCGCUUUAAUUAUGCACUAAUGACUGAAUAGGAAA